CAGGAUGAGAAGCAACCAGAUCAGCAAACUGCAGAAGGAAUUUAAACGCCACAAUUCUGAUGCUCACAGCACCACCUCAAGUGCCUCUCCCGCCCAGUCUCCAUGCUACAAUAACCAGUCAGAUGAGGGCUCAGAUACAGAGAUGGCUUCCAGCUCUAAUAGAACUCCGGUUUUUUCCUUCUUAGAUCUUACCUACUGGAAAAGACAGAAAGUAUGUUGUGGGAUCAUCUAUAAGGGCCGUUUUGGGGAAGUCCUCAUCGACACUCAUCUCUUCAAGCCUUGCUGCAGCAGUAAGAAAGCGACUGCUGAGAAGCCCGAGGAGUAGGGGCCAGCCCUCUGCCCCCCUCCACUCAGGAGUGGUGACUGAGGUUCACUUAGAAAGGAACAAAGAGUGGUUUAAACUUUGAAAAGACCACAAAACAAACUGACCCUCCUAUUUUUAACUUGGAUACCUGCUAUUCUGCCAAAAGACAUUUUUCUAGAAUAGUUUUAAAUGGGUUACUGUCCUUACCCUUCAUCCAACAAACUUGGAAGUCAGUCUCUAGCUUACUGCAAGAAAAAGGAGUGUACAUAAUAUUUAAGAUGCUGAGCAUUUCAUAGGAAAGCUGAAUGCUGCUGUGACAUGCUCUUUAAGUCUUUCUUUUUAAAUCCCCUCUGAUGAAUGGAAUUAGGGGAAUUUCAGGGGACAGAGAUGGGAUUUGUUGUGUGACAAACCAUAUGUAGUUUAGUCUUUCUGUGGAGAGGCAGUGGUUGGGGACAUUUUUAAAUGGCUGGCUACACUUGUUUUCCCUCAUGAUAAUUUCUCAUAACUCAGUAGUAUGACCUACCCCUAGAAGGUCAUUACAGAUUUUUAAACGCUAAGGCGUUGCCAAGGUUCUGAGGGUUCAGACCUGUACUACUGAUUAUUAAGCAGGACAGACUGAGCUUUCUGCAAAUAGCUUGAAGGAGGAAGCAAUUUCUGAACACUUCAUAUUGAUAAAAAAAAACGUUAUGUGGAUCUUGUAAAACAGAGCCAGAUCUCCUUCUGGGGAAGGCCUGCCUCUAGGAUGGACAAGGUCUAUAGGGAUAGGACCAAAGCAUCACCACAAAGUAGACAACACACGUGGUUAGAAACUACUUAAAUCAGAAUGUGUAAGUCCUGGGGAUGCAUAGGGCACAGUUGAUGCUGCUUGGGACACGUUUCUUAGAGAGCUUACAGUAUGUAAAUAAUUGACAUUGGUGUUAACACGACUGUCUGGGAUCCACUGAAAUCCACAUGAUUCAGUUCUAGCUCUGGAUUACCUCAGUUGACCUUUGUGGAGGUUUUAUCUACAGAGUAGUUCUUUGCCAUGUCAUAGACCUUACUUACUAGGGUUUGGGGUUUUGUUGUCUCAUUGUUCUUCUCCCACUAUUUAAGAGACUAGAAGAGAAGAGUUGUGCAUUGAGGCUAAGCUGGUUGGUUAGGUUGGCUUCUUAACAUCAAGAUAGCUGAAUGGAGCUCUACACCCCUAGAUCUCAAUGAUUCAGUUGGCUUCUCAGUGAAACCCAACUGAAGUUGUCUAAAUUGACUCUUCUCAAAGUUCAGGAAAAACAGUAAUGCCACUUUAGGCCUCAUAGAGGAGGUGUAUGUGGCUGCCUUAGUAUUCUGUUCCUCAAGAUUAUUUUAGAAACUGGAUUUUUAAAGUCUUUUAGAGUUUCACAACAAGGAGAAGCCACAGUUUGUGGCAUCCUAUAGUUUUACAUUGUGUAUUUCUUCCUUGUAGGAAAAACCUAUCUAGUACAAGUUACCAUGUGCACAGACUGCCCAAUGAGUGGGUCGUUUCUCCACAACCCCGGUGUAGUACAGAGUCCAGCCAUUACCAUUCUCCUGCGUUACUUUGACAUGGGAUUGUUUUUGUACAUUUUGGCUGCAGUAUUGGUGGUAGAAUAUACUUUGACGGAUCAUCUCUACUUCUGUAUUUAUUACUAGACCUCAACCACAGCCUUCUCUCCCUCUACUCUCUACCUGUAGGAUAUACUGUAUUUAGUCAUGCACUUUGUAUUAAUAUAUUAAAAAUCUACAGAUGUUUUGUACUUUUUAUACUGUUGGAUACUUAUAAUCAAAACUUUACUCUAAGGUAUUGAAUAAAUUUAGUCUUACUAGAAAAAAAACAACUUUACAA